UACGUAGGAGGCAAGCGUUGUCCGGAAUCACUGGGCGUAAAGAGCGUGUAGGCGGUCUGCCAAGUCCGCUGUGAAAGUCCAGGGCUCAACCCUGGAAUGCCGGUGGAAACUGUCAAGCUUGAGUCCGGAAGAGGCGAGUGGAAUUCCUGGUGUAGCGGUGAAAUGCGCAGAUAUCAGGAGGAACACCAAUGGCGAAGGCAGCUCGCUGGGACGGUACUGACGCUGAGACGCGAAAGCGUGGGGAGCAAACAGG
rnacentral:rRNA from 1 species